AGCUGGUUCCCUCCGAAGUUUCCCUCAGGAUAGCUGGAGCCCAUUACGAGUUCUAUCAGGUAAAGCCAAUGAUUAGAGGCAUUGGGGACGCAACGGUCUCGACCUAUUCUCAAACUUUAAAUAGGUAGGAUGGCUCGGCUGCUUCGGUGAGCCGUGCCACGGAAUCGGGUGCUCCAAGUGGGCCAUUUUUGGUAAGCAGAACUGGCGAUGCGGGAUGAACCGGAAGCCGGGUUACG
rnacentral:ncRNA from 1 species